CACACACACACACACACACACACACACACACACACACAUACAUACGACCCCCCCACACCCACACAAACCUUGUUCUAUACUGCAUAUAAGGACAAGGCAGCCACAAUCCCUUAUGAGUUCACUGCCCCUAAAUUGUACCUGGCAAGACAGGACACUGGGAUGCUAUCUAAUCUAGGGCAGCCUGCCAUAAGGACAGCAAGUGACACCCUCAAACAUCUUAAAGAAUUUCCCAUGUAUGACCUCAGGUGACCUCCACAGCAAGAGCACACAGUAGAGAGCAUGGGUUAUGACUGCCAUAGUUUAUGAGGAAAACUGAGGGCUAAGGAAGCUAUAAAAUGUAUCUAAAGUCAUGACUUAUAGAAGAGCCUCCAUCACAAAUGAAGAUCGAGCUCUCUGGACAUCACUUCAACUCUUCAUGGAAAUUAUAUAUUUUUCAGAAAAGAAUUGUGGACUCGGAAUACAGCUCAGUGGGGGCUGGAUGGCUUGCCCAGCAUAUAUGAGGUCAGCACUGGGCGUUACAGUCCCACUUCUCUCUGCCACUACCUUGAGUGAAAUUCCACUGUCAUCAGUGAACCACCACCCUUUGGAGGCCGUUGACUGAAGAAACAGUGACUUGAACUGUGCUUCAGUUUGCAGCAACUAAAGAAGUGCCCACGUGUCUCAUCUUCUGUGACUUACGAAGAUAUUUCCUGUAGGCAUGGCCCAAAGGAAAAGAGAAAGAUGAUUUUUAAAACUCUGGAAAUGGACAGAAAUUCUCUAAGAGACAUUCAAGCUCAUAAAUCCACCCUGGAGGGAAAAAGAGACACAAUGAUGGGGGAUUAACAACAGCUUCCUGAUGAAGGGGCCUAUUCACCUGUGCAAUUGAAGGGACGUAGAAGUGAGUCCUGGAGAAGGAAGAUUUAAGCGGAUCAUGAAAAUACAAGCACCAGCUCUUGUCUCUCCCUCUCCCUUGUAACCUGUAUUCCAGGGUGAUAGAGUGGACAAGAAAUGAGCUACCACCAAAAGGAGACAAAGACUGCAGGGCAUGCAAUGUGACAGGUGACUUAUUUCUGCAACAAGUGAAUGGUGCCAAUGAAAGAGGAGAGAGGAGCCCUGUUCCUGAGUGAAACAGAGAGACAACCAAAGUUGAUAUGUAUGACUUAUUUGGGGUAUUAUUCAAAACAGCCCUUUCUAUUGCAACAACAUGGACAUUUUUCUUAUAGAAUAGGAUGAUCUCAAGGAAUUACCAUCAUCAAUGGUAGAUCUGAAGUGACACUGAUGAGCAUGAAAAUUACCAUCGUUCUGAAGACAGCUAAUAAAAUAGAGGGUAAAUUGUAUG